GAUGAACGCUGGCGGCGUGCUUAACACAUGCAAGUCGAACGAUGAAGCCCAGCUUGCUGGGUGGAUUAGUGGCGAACGGGUGAGUAACACGUGAGUAACCUGCCCUUAACUCUGGGAUAAGCCUGGGAAACUGGGUCUAAUACCGGAUAGGAGCGUCCACCGCAUGGUGGGUGUUGGAAAGAUUUAUCGGUUUUGGAUGGACUCGCGGCGUAUCAGCUUGUUGGUGAGGUAAGGGCUCACCAAGGCGACGACGGGUAGCCGGCCUGAGAGGGUGACCGGCCACACCAGGACUGGGACACGGCACAGACUCCUACGGGAGGCAGCAGUGCGGAAUAUUGUACAAUGGGAGGAAGCCUGAUGCAGCGACGCCGCGUGAGGGAUGACGGCCUUCGGGUUGUAAACCUCUUUCAGUAGGGAAGAAGCGAUAGUGACGGUACCUGCAGAAGAAGCACCGGCUAACUACGUG
rnacentral:rRNA from 1 species